AAAGUGCGAUAAGCAAUGCGAAUUGCAGAAUUCCGCGAAUCAUCAGAUUCUUGAACGCAAAUGGCGCUGGAGGGAUCUCCUUCCAGCAUGCCUGUUUCAGUGUCUGAAAACAUCCCAAAAAGGUAUAUCUUGAAUAUACCUAACUUAUUGUGUUUGACUUGGAGAUCAUUUUUUAUAAUGGUGAUAUCCAUGUCUCACAUUAAUGUAUGUAUGUGCGGAUCUUUGGGUCCAUCGAAUUGGUCACUGACUUCUAUGCAGUGAUUUCGAUGCGAUAAUAUUACUCAAUUAUCCAUAUGCACAUAUGAAUAAUAGCAAUAUUAGUCAUAGUAUUGCUAUUAUACUACAUCUAUUUAUGUAUCUGAAAUCAGGCAAGAACACCCGCUGAACUUAA
rnacentral:misc_RNA from 1 species